GUCUCCUACAUCCAGAUUUCCCUUUUGUUUUUACAUAAAUCUGGCAUCAGUACGGCUUCAUUGUUGAGACGUCUCCUUCCUGCAAUUGUUUUUCCAUGGAUUCCUGCUCAGGGCAGGAGAGAAACCCAGCCAGCCUUCUGCUUUUCCCUCUGUAUCCUAGUUAUCCUAGCAAGGCAGUAGCCCUGUUUGCUACUAGGUCAUCCCACCUCCAGCUUGUAAGAGACCCCACAGGGCGAUGCCAUGGUGGUGGGCACACAGGCUUAUGUUCCUGAUCUCCAUCAGUUUGGGAUUGGUUAUGCUCAUCUCUGCACAGCAUGGCAAUGUAUUUUCCAAUAUAGACAGGACCAAAGUCAACUAAAUCCUUGUAAAAGCAACGAAGGACCUGCUGUCCGAAGCGUGCUAGGAGUUAGCAGCAGUGGUCUUUUCCAGUGUGGCCGGGGGGCAGUGUCUCACCUGGAAGAUGAGCACCUUGAAGCGGUCCCGCCGGAGGAGCUGCGCGUGAUGCUGCUCCA